UACGUAGGGUGCGAGCGUUGUCCGGAAUUAUUGGGCGUAAAGGGCGCGUAGGCGGCUUGGCAAGUGGAUGGUGAAAUCCCUCGGCUUAACCGAGGAACUGCCGUCCAAACUGCUUUGCUUGAGACCGGGAGAGGUGAGUGGAAUUCCCAGUGUAGCGGUGAAAUGCGUAGAUAUUGGGAGGAACACCAGUGGCGAAGGCGGCUCACUGGCCCGAUACUGACGCUGAGGUGCGAAAGCGUGGGGAGCAAACAGG
rnacentral:rRNA from 1 species